CAAUAGCGUAUAUUAAAGUUGUUGCGGUUAAAAAGCUCGUAGUUGGAUUUCUGCCGAGGACGACCGGUCCGCCCUCUGGGUGAGCAUCUGGCUCGGCCUGGGCAUCUUCUUGGAGAACGUAUCUGCACUUGACUGUGUGGUGCGGUAUUCAGGACUUUUACUUUGAGGAAAUUAGAGUGUUUCAAGCAGGCACACGCCUUGAAUACAUUAGCAUGGAAUAAUAAGAUAGGACCUCGGUUCUAUUUUGUUGGUUUCUAGAUCUGAGGUAAUGAUUAAUAGGGAUAGUUGGGGGCAUUCGUAUUUAACUGUCAGAGGUGAAAUUCUUGGAUUUGUCAAAGACGGACUACUGCGAAAGCAUUUGCCAAGGAUGUUUUCAUUGA
rnacentral:rRNA from 1 species